ensembl:lncRNA
GGCGUUCGAGCGAGCGAGAGAGAGAGCGCGGCAAUUUUCCCCUGAAGUUCGGUUGUUGGAGACUUAAUAUACGCUGUAUAUAGGCCCACACUAACUUUUUCCCAUUUUUUUUCUUUCAAGUCUAACGGUGUUUGUUAGCGUGAAAGUAGACAUUGUCUGUGUGUUUCGGUUCUGUGAGGAGCUCCAGCUCCAGGCUGUAUCGCUAAACUGGCUGCUUCUCAACGAAGAGGACUGAACUCUCCACGCUGCUGCUGUGUGGAUGGACAAAGAGGACCAGAGUCUUAACAAAGAUCAUCGCAUUUUGUGUGAGACGCGAGUAGGUGCUUGUGGGCGCUUCGGCUCAUCUCCAUAUGAGUCAUGGACUUUCAUGCUGUCCUGCAGCAGGUGUCACUAUGUUCUGCUGUUACAGCUGCUGACAGUCAUAGCUGGCUCUUUUCCUUCAGUAAAGGUGAAUCUUCAUGAGGCUACUACUCUCCCCUGCACUCAGACAUGUUCUGGUCUGGUCACAUGGACUUUAUAUCAUAAACCACAUGACAUACUGGCUCAGUGUAACCAGACAUCUUGCCAGUCAGAGGAGGGAUUUCACAUGUCCCAUGAUCAGUACCUGAAGGGAGAUCUCUCCCUCACCAUCACUGAUGCUGAUUACACUAAGAGGUCCUUGUACACCUGCGCCUGUAAAGGUCGAGAGCUCUGUGAUGUGAGUCUGCAGAUAGAGGGUAAGUGUCUUCAAUGGAUUACCUAGUUAUUGUUACUAAACC